rnacentral:sRNA from 1 species
UACAAUGUUGUAUACAGCAUUUGAGGAUCC